AGGAAGUUCUGCGCCGAAGCUCG
rnacentral:siRNA from 1 species